rnacentral:lncRNA from 1 species
CCCGGACCCACCUCCCCUGCAGCCAUCCCGCACUCUUGAGGGGCCGGGCCCUGGCUGAGCGCUGUUCCUAGGCCCUGGAUGGCGGUGUGGAUCUCCGUCCUUGUCAGGGUAAUUUCCUCUUCUGUUUCCAGCAUUUCGAGUAAAUUCCUUUCUAAUCAUUAGGUGCCCUAGAGAGGACAGAUGCAUGGCUGUGGAGUCUUGUUCUGUGAUAUGUCAGUUUACUUGACGCACGUUCAAAACUGCAAAAUGCUGGUUCCUACCCGUCUCUGAUGUCACCAAAGGCUGCCCAGAGGCCUGCAGCACAUUGACGAUGGUCUUAGUAUUACACAGCUGUCUGACCAGUACCACAAAUCCAGAGUCCAAGCAGCUCAGGUUUGCCUUCUCCCUGUCUGUGUGGGUCCAGCGCCCUGGGCUCAGCAGGGCCUCCUGCUCCUGCUCCUGUAGGGUGGGCUGGGCCUUCCCACACGGGCCUGGGGAGGAGCCUCUCCUAGGUGCUGGCAGGGCCCUGGCCUUUACUUAUUCCCUCUGAUGCCAGCCAGCUACUGCAGCCCUGGUGGCGUCUCCCUGGGGGUGCCCGGGUGCAGGUGUCCGCUGCCGGGCCGUGGGUGUCUCAUUCUGUGUCCGGACCUCUCUGUGAUGUGAACCUUGGGCUUUUUUUUUUUUUUUUUUUUUUUUUCAGAUGUUAAGGGAGUCCACCACAUGUUUCCAUGUUUUACUGUUCCUGGAACUGAAUUUGUUUGUGAUGUGAGUCAGAAAUCCUGUCACAUUUUUCCACGUGGAUAUCCAGGGCCCCCGCCGUUUGUGGGAAGGCCGCACCUUCUGCCCGCUCUGCUGUCCAUCCGCGUGCCCAUCUCCAUGGGUUUCUCUCUGCACGGCUUGUUCUGUCCUGCAUGUCCAUCCUUGAGAUCGUUUUUCUCUGGCUUAAUGAUUACAGCUGUACGUUUCAUUUUCAUGGCUGGGAUCUGCAGGACGAGCUUACAUAUAGCAUAAAAUUGGAUGUUCCUUUGAAACAACAGCAGUCAGAAGUCCAUGAGGAGGUGUCUUCUGACUGCGAGGAUAAGGGUGGAUCACCUUAAUGCAAUCAGGGAAUGAUGUGUUAGAAGCAUCUAUAGUUCCUGCUUCCCCUAAUUUCUAGCUGUAGCCAUUUGAAGAUUCUAAGCAAGUCCUCAACUGUUCAGCAGAGCCUCUGGUCCAGCAUGAGACCAAAACCCAGGAGCUGGUCUCGCCCUUGGCCCUCCUAACUCUCCAGCGUGUCCAGCCUGACUGGGAGAAACGUCCUGUUCAGGUGUUUGGUUGUCUAAGUGCUUCCCGCGGGGACGCCGGGCCUGAGCCUCUGUGAGAAGGGGAGAUCCCUGUGCAGUGUGGACCAACUUCUUUCCCUUUUCCAGGCUCCCAGUUUCUCCGCCUGUGCUGAGACCUUGUUUCCCAGGACCUCGGUGGACUUGGCUUUCAUGACUGGUGCCUCACCCCAGCACAUGUGCCUAAAAUAACAGAAAAAUACAGUGCCUGCAUGUUGGGAGCAAGCCCCCCAAAGUCUGGCCCCAAAACUGGCCAUAAAUAAAAUCUCUGCAGCAAUGUAACAUGUCCAUAAUGGCCAUAAAGCCCAAGCUGGAAGGUUGUGGGUUUACAGGAAUGACGGUAAGGAACACCUGGCCCGCUCAGGGCGGAAAACUGGUUAAAGGCAUUUUUAAGCCAUAAACAAUUAGCCUGAGCGAUCUGUGCCUUAAGGGCGUGUUCCUGCUGCAAUUAAUUCAGCCCAUCCCUUCGUUUCCCUUAAGGGAUACUUUCAGUUAAUUUAAUAUCCAUAGAAACAAUGCUAAUGACUGGUUUGCUGUUAAUAAAUAUGUGGGUAAAUCUCUGUUCGGGGCUCUCAGCUCUGAAGGCUGUGAGACCCCUGAUAUCCCACUUUACACCUCUGUAU